CUUCAGUAUCACAAAAACAAGAGUAUGAGGGUUGUUCUAUAUUCUGGCUCAUUAAAUCCUUGUCUCUAAUCCUGGCUGCUUCGAUUGUACAGAUUGAAGCAAAUCUCAUGACCAUGCUUUGGAAUCACAGGACUAACCUAGAUCUUCAUUUUACCCGGAGGCAUCGUUUUGCAGUUGUUUCUUCCAAUGCUCACUUAGAAUUCACACUCCUCACCCAACGCUCCAGUACGUACCCUUCUGAUAACUAUCAGAACCAAGCCUGGGAUCAGAAAAAUGGAUUAGCAGGGCUGCCUGCUGCUGUGGAGAACUAGAAGCCACAUCAAUAGCUCACACCGCCAGCUGAGCCCAUCGCAUGAGGCAUCCAGGAAGUCCUCCUUAAGACAUUUGUUUGCAUUAAAAUCAUCACCCUUUGGCUUCCCUAUAAAUUGGCUUUCCUACACAAACAGUGAACUGGCAGCCAUAAAGAUUCAGACUCCAUCUGGUAAACCCAACAUCAUACAUCGUAUACCACAGGGGACCGGGAUCCUCAGACUUUCUUCCCCAAAGAAACCGGAGCACCGAGCGCAGUGGAAGAGAAGAGUGCAACACGCCAGCCUCGGUGCUCACAGCAAAUGGAUGGCACAUGAACUUCAAAGAAUGCUUUACAACACACUGCAUGGUCAGGGGUGGCUGGGAUUGAAAAGACAAAACAAACAUUUCCAUUUGCUAGGUAGGAAGUGAACCAACUGCAGUGAGUCCCACUCCCGGGCCCCCUGCUUAAAACCAGGGGAUGGGGCAAAAAGUGUAGCGAGCAUGCAGAGCUCAUUUUUGUGCUUCCCAGUAAAGCCAACAGAGAGCCUAUUUCUGAGAUGAUGUUUAUUACCAUAUCGUGUAUUCUCUUAAGAGGUUCAACAGCUGCUGUCUAACCACUGUCUUAAUGGAAAGCAAAUUUAAGACACGGAAGCUUUGAGUGGUGGUGUGGAGAAUGGAGGGCUGGCAAACAGAAGGCCUUCUUUCCUUCCCUUGUAUUUUCUCUCUGUGUGUCUUUUUCUAUGUCUCUCUCUCUUUAUCUUUGUCUCUCCUUCCUGUCUUUCUCUUCUCAUUUUGCAAACAUUUUGGCCCAAGAUUGAGUGAGUUAUUUAAAAAAAAAAAAAAAAAACCAAUGUACAAAUAUUAGGCACAGCAAUUACUUAAAAAAAAACUAGAAUUCAUAAACAAAUCACCAAUAAUUGUACUAAGAUAUUAUUCUUGAAAGAAACAGCAUCGGGCUGGAGAGAUGGCUCAGAGGUUAAGAGCACUCGCUGUUCUUCCAAAAGGUCCCGAGUUCGAUUCCCAGCAACCACAUGGUGGCUCAUAACCAUCUAUAGUGAGAUCUGGUGUACAGGCAUAAUGUUGUAUAAAUAAUAAAUAAAUCUUUAAAAAAAAAAAAAAAAGAAAGAAACAGCAUCAUCAUCCCACCAGAAAGAAAUGAUACUUCAAUUUAUUUUUACAAAACUUUUCAAAAUUCAGUGAACACUUGGAUUGCAGCCACCCUCUUAGGAUACCCUUAAAUUCUAACUUCUUUUUUUCCCUGUACAUAUCUUAUUUUCUUUUUCUACUCAACAAAAUAGAGAAAUGUUUGAGUACAUUGAUCUUCUGAACUUUCUUGACCAAAUGAAAAUAAGCUAUUCCUUGUUGCAAAAAUGAUGAGCCCAAGAACUCCAGAAAGUUUAUUUAAAGUUCAGAAUUUCAACACCACUCCCAGGAUUGAGCUUGUGAUGUGUAAGCACUGACUCCAUAAACAUGUAAAAUUACAUGAAUGAAAAGUGAAAGCAACAGAAUAAGCUUACAAGUUAAAUAUUAACCCCCCCCAAUAAUUCUUCAUUUUCCUGUAGAUGAUUGAGGUGAAUGCCACCAAAACAAGAGUGUGUUGGGGGAUGACUGGGUGUCAUGAUACAUGUGUGGGGAAACUGAGUCUCCCCCCAGAGUGGAACUGUUAGAUUCAUCUCGUUUCCUGACUCCUUGUGAUUGGUUUUCAUUGUCCAGCUAUAACAAGCUGGAUCUUCCCAGUUAUAUUCUGUAGCUGAGCACAUGUGCAGCCCAGAAGUAAGUGCCGUAGACCUCAAAGGGAACUUGUCCACAUGAAAUUCGUGGUGUGUGUUUCCAAUGUCAAAAGUAAUUAGCUUUUAAAUGGAUACUUGGGUUUUAAGGGUAUUCAACCAAGGCUUUUGUUGGUGACUGACUGAGUGAUGAUUUCAGUUCCCUUCAUCAAGAGCGGCUGUCAUUUCCACCCACUGAGUCGUGGUACAAGCCAGCAUCAUCACCAAUCUGCUCAUCCCACGUGGAUCCUGUUAGAAGUCAAAACAUAAUCACGAACAUCUCUUGUUGGGGGUUGGCCUGAUGCUUGUAUUUUGAUGUUAAUUACUGGCCUUCAAGACCCGGUUACUGCCUGGAUACACCAAUCCUUGUGUAAACCUGACCAAGACAUUAUACCUGAUUGGUUGAUUAAAAAGCCUAAAACCAUCCCAGAAGCAGAAAGACACACAGGGUAUAUACUCACUCAUAAGUGGAUAUUAGACAUAUAAUAUAGGAUAAACAUACUAAAAUCUGUACACCUAAGGAAGCUAAUCAGGAAGGAGGACUCUGGAUAAGAUGUUCAAUCCCCAUUCAGAAAGGCAAAGAAGAUGGACAUCAGAGGAGGGAGAAAACAGGGAACAGGACAGGAACCUACCACAGAGGGCCUCUGAAAGGCUCUACCCUGCAGGGUAUUGAGACAGAUGCUGAGACUCAUAGCUAAACUUUGGGAAGAGUGCAGGAAAUCUUAUGAAAGAGGUGGGAGAUAGUAAGACCUGGAGAGGACAGGAGCUCCACAAAGACAGUAACAGAUCCAAAAAGUCUGGGCACAGGGGUCUUUUCUGAAACUGAUACUCCAGCCAAGGACCAUUCAUGGAGAUGGCCUGGAGCCCCUGCACAGAGGUGGCCUAUGGCAGUUCAGUAUCUAAGUGGGCUCCAUAGUAAUGGGGACAGGGACUGUCUCUUACAUGAACUGAUUGGCCUACUCUUUCAUCACCUCCCCCUGAGGGGGAAGCAGGCCACAGGAGAAGACAAUGCAGCCACUCCUGAUGAGACCUGAUAGAGUAGAGUCAGAGGGAAGGGGAGGAGGACCUCCCUUAUCAGUGGACUGGGAGAGGGACAUGGGUGGGGAAGAGGGAAGGUGGGAUUGGGAGGGGAGGAGGGAGAGAGGUACAGGGGGGAUACAAAGUGAAUAAACUGUAAUUAAUAAAAAUAAUUUAAAAAAUAAAAUUAAAAAAGGCCUAAAACCUGGGCAGGGCAGAGCGGGUUAGGUAUAACUAAGGUCCUGGGCUUUGGGAACAGGAGAAUCAUGGGAAACAGAGAGACAGACUGGAAGAGAGGAGGAAGGAGGAUGCCACAAUGGGUUAGUUAGCUUAGAGAAGGAACCACAUGAGCUGGGAGGAAGAACUCUGAAGACGGUGUGGAUGGAGAAAACACCAAGAAAAAAAAAAUAUGUAUAAGCAAGUAUUUAUAAGAUGAUGAAUGAAAGGUCGCCCAGAAAAAGAUGGUUAAGGAAGAUGGCAUUGGAUGAGGGCUGGGUGGUAGGUGGUGGAGCUUUUGAGACAGCGUAGGUGAAAUAUCUGCCCAGCCCAAGGUAACUAAGGCAAUCAUAAAAUCUAACAGGUGUCUGUGUCUUAUUAUUUGUGUUAGCAGGUUAAAUGAUGUGUCAGGUGUGCGUGCAGAGGACAACCUCACCUGUCAGUCCUCACCUCCGGCCUUGUUUCAGGUGCUGUACUCCUGUCCCUCUAUCCUCGCCUCUGCCUCUGUCUGCUCUCUGCUGUGUGUAUGUGUGUCUUGCCUGCACGUGAAUCUGUGCACCAUAGGAGUUCAAUGCCUGGGAGUCCUGAGGAGGGCAUGAUCUCCCGGAGCCCUCACGUGGGUGCUCGGAACCCAGGUCCCCUGGUGGUGGUGGGGCAGCCACUGCUCUUACCCACCAAUACAUGUCUCCUGCCCCUACUCUCACACUCACUGUCCUAUACAUUAAACUACCUGGCCCGCAAGUUUCCAGGGAUCUGUCUGUCUGUCUGUCUUCCAUCUCACCCCAGAAGUGAAACUGCAUCCAAGUUUAUGUUUAUCUGGGCAUCCAAACUCAUGUCUUUGUGCUUGCACAGCAUGUGCUUUACACGCAAAACCAUCUCUCCAGCCCU